CCUGGCCCGGGGCGACAUCAUUCCCUCUCGCGGUCCCCGGGGCACAUGGGUUUUCACGUCUUUGUCCUGUGCCGGCCUCCACUUCCCCCACAGAUAUGCACACUCUUUCCAGAUGCCUCGUUCAUACUCCGGAGCUGGUCUGGGCCCAGGACAGGAAUGUGGGUGAAACCCAGUGGCUUCAAAACACCUGAGCACUCGCUGCUGCCCCCUCUCCCCCAAAAGACACAACUCUGCCUUCUCGACCAAUGUUGCACCAUCAUCCAAACGAGAGAACAAGUGGUUGCUGCAGACCUGAAGUGAACCAAAUAAAGAUUCCUGCUCCUUGCAGCUCAGAACCCUCCAUGUGGGACAUGUGUUUUCUAACUGUUUGCACCUCUUCGUAAAGACCACAGCCUUUUGUGUGAAAACCAGACUGCACACCCGGGGUAUCCCAGCGGAUCCCACCGAGACCACCGCUCUGGGUCUGAGAGUGUCCAGAAGCCGAUUAAGCAGCGGGACAGCUCAGCACGGGGGAGUGCUCCUGCUCACC